UGUCCCUACGGGGCGCAGCAGUGGGGAAUAUUGCACAAUGGGCGAAAGCCUGAUGCAGCAACGCCGCGUGAAGGAAGAAGGGUUUCGGCUCGUAAACUUCUCUCAACAGGGACGAAAGAAAUGACGGUACCUGAAUAAGAAGUCCCGGCUAACUACGUGCCAGCAGCCGCGGGAAUACGUAGGGGGCAAGCGUUAUCCGGAAUUACUGGGGGUAAAGGGGGAGUAGGCGGCAUGGUAAGCCAGAUGUGGAAGCCUUGGGCUUAACCCGAGGAUUGCAUUUGGAACUAUCAAGCUAGAGUACAGGA
rnacentral:rRNA from 1 species